GAGAGCCGGAUGCAUAGCGAAAGGUGCAUGUCCGGUUCGGCGAGAGGGCGUGCGAAACCGCUGGUCGCAAGACCGGAAUGGCGCGCAUGUCCUACUCAAAC
rfam:Candidatus Nitrospira defluvii chromosome, complete genome.